rnacentral:lncRNA from 1 species
CUUGGAAAUGUUGAAGAUUCUUGAUUCUCACUUCCUCGAUCAAGAAAGGUCUCCGGUUACAGUUACUGAAGCUAUGUCCUUCCAGGUCGAUGAUAGGUUGAAUGCCUCUGAACAACAUCAAGAAGGAGAGUCACAGAGACCUUCCAGUGCCGAAACACGUGCCGCGCUGUACAAUAAGCCAAUCGAUGAGUUGGAUUUGAAUAUGAUAUGGUUAUAUGGAGAUCCAGAUGGGAAGAUUCAUGGACCGUUUUCGUUAAUGAACCUGCGGCAAUGGAGUUCGAGUGGCCACUUCCCGCCUGAGCUGAGAAUAUGGAGGUUGGGUGAACAGCAGAACAGGUCCAUACUUUUGACCGACGCAUUAAAUGGGCAGUUCCAUAAAACAGGGUUGCUUCAGAAUCAUUCUAUCCCGAAGCAGGAAGAGACAGCUACUAUAGCUAACGUUGAAAACAGGAGUGUGGCUGUUGCUAAACUAGAGAGUAGAGUACUUGACUUUAGCCCCAACUCGGUGUCCACCGACCAGAGUGUCAUUUCUAGCAGUAACAGUGUCAUCACAAGGGGCUCCGACGCGAGCAACAGAAGCGAAAACCUUUUUAGCCACACCCCUUUGGAUUUCACUCAUUCUAAUGAAAGGGAGGCUGUGGGUAACAAAUUGAAAAUUGACAGUCCUUUGCCUGGACAAAGCCCUAUAAGCUGUUCGCUGUCGCUGUCUACAUUUCCAGGAAACUCAAACUCAAACUGUACUCCGCCACCGCAACAGGAAAGAUGGAAUGUUGGUCAUACAGAGGCAGAUGGGAACACAGUAAAGAAAGCUUGCAAUCAAAACGAUACUGGCCUUAGCGGUUCGGGUGAGAAACAGGUUACGGCUACAGUUCAGUCAUGUGGGCAAAACUGGAGUGCUGCUACUCCAAGCAGUGCUUCAAAUGUGUGGGAUUCGAACCCAGGUUUGGUGUCUUUCACAGACAAUCAAGAAAUCGACUUUCUAGAUCUCUUUAGUCCGACCUUUAAAUUCAACUUUGCGUCUGAUACCACGGAGUGGCAACCCAUUGUGACUGGACCUGACGAGUGUGACGAGUCAGUCUCAGAUCUUUUGGCGGAAGUUGAAGCCAUGGAGUCCCAAAAGCGUCUUCCUUCUCCUACUUCCACAUACCGUGGUCCUGGAGAGUUAACCCGCCACUCCAUUAAUGAUAGCUUCAGUCCUGUUGAAGGGCAUAGCCCAGCGCUUGAUGCAAGCAAAGGUGACUCCAUGAGCUCAACAAACGAUUUGCAAAUGCAUUUACGAACUAACAACCCCGUGGACUUUUAGCGGAUCAUGUAUCAUAACCAGGGCACAGGUUAGCAUAGAUCAUCUGAUGGAUGGUGGACAGUGCCCUCCUCUCUCUCUCUUUUUUGCAGGAUUAUUACAGAACAUUAAUAAGUGAGCGAAUCUUACACGAUCAUCAGAAAAAAAAGAGUGGUGCAUAAGAAGAAGAUAUGGUGAUAAUUUUGGCUGUUUAGGUUUUCCACGUUGUCGUCCUGUCUUGUGUAUUUCUUACAUUGUUUGUGUACUUAGGGUAAGUAUUAAGAUGGAAGAUAUUUGUUGUCAGUGGAUGUAAUCAAACCAUUGUAGUAUAUGAUAAGUGUAACGUUUCAUAAAAGCUUCACAUAUCUGUUUAUUUGUUUCUGAGACGUGAGCAUAUUUGCUUGAUCACACGGCGUCGUUUUUGUUUCUUUUGUAUCUGACAAGUGGAAAGAACAACUGAACAAGAGGAACUCGCUCGCUCGCUCUCUUCGAUUGAUCUUUCACGUAUUUAGAAACUUUUUGUUGAUUGUAUUUUUCCGAUUGAAAAUUACAUUUAUCUGAUUUGAUGGUGGAAGCUUCGUCGAAUUUAACCCCUACACGCCACCACCUUCACCUCUUUCUCCAAUUCCCAAUUCUUCCUCUCGUCCUCCCCUAGGGUUACUACGCUUUACUCUCCCCCCCUCCCGAUCUCGUCACUUUCUUGAAUCGAUGCCGGAGAUCGAUCUCAUGAGAGUCGUCGAUCAAUCCGCCGCCGAUGUGAAAUUGGCUGGCGAUUACGAUUCUUCUCCGCCUAUCGAAGCUCUCGGUUGCUGUGGUGGCUCCGUGGAUGUGGAUGUGAAGCUGGAAGAAGAAGAGGACUCGAGCUGCGUGAAGAAGACUCGGCCUAGACGCGGACGUCCGCCGAGAACGGUGGGGAAAGCUUCUCCCGUGUCGAGUAAGAGGAGAGAAGACGAAGAUGUUUGUUUCGUGUGCUUCGAUGGAGGUAGUCUUGUUCUCUGCGAUCGUAGGUGAGUUUGAGUUCGAGCUUCUUCUUUAGUAGUAGAUUCGUUGCUUUCCAAAAAUUGAAAUUGAAAUUGAGGACUUUUUCUUUAACAUGUGGCAGAGGAUGUCCAAAGGUGUAUCACCCAGCUUGUGUUAAGCGUAGUGAAGCAUUCUUCAGAUCGAGAUCUAAAUGGAACUGUGGUAAGUUAGUUUGAUACAUUACCCAAAGAGAUGAAGUCUUUUGGAGCUGAUUUUUGAUUUUUCAGGUUGGCAUAUAUGUACGGCUUGUCAGAAGGAUUCUUUCUACAUGUGCUAUACUUGUCCUUAUUCUGUUUGCAAGAGAUGCGUUAGAAGCUCAGAGUAUGUACUUGUACGGGAGAACAAAGGCUUCUGUGGGAUCUGCAUGAAGACUAUCAUGCUUAUUGAGAAUGCGCCUGAAGCUAACAAAGAAAAAGUACGAGUGAACUUGAGACUUUGUCUUGCUUUUGUUCUGCAAUGUGUUUAACAUCUACAUUUUGUCCAGGUUCAGGUCGACUUUGAUGAUCAAGGCAGCUGGGAGUAUCUUUUUAAGAUCUACUGGGUCUCUCUUAAAGAGAAGCUAUCUCUGUCGUUAGAUGAUCUUACCAAAGCUAAGAAUCCAUGGAAACCGUCUAAGAGAAGGACUACUAGUCAGCUUCAUGGAAAUGAUGAUGGGGUUAUGAAGUUAAGUCGUGCUAAGCUAAGGAAAAUGGAAGCGGGUAAAUUGGAUUCGAAGAGUUGUCUGGGUGAUAGACUUGCACCAUUGACUGGUACUGCUGCUGCUUGGGCAACAGAUGAGCUCUUGGACUUUGUUAGGUUUAUGAAAAACGGUGAUGUUUCCGUCUUGUCGAAGUAUGAUGUUCAAACUCUCGUGCUAGAGUAUGUGAGACGGAAUAGUAUACAAAACGCUUCUCAGGAUUCGGAAAUAGUGUGUGACCCUAGGCUUAUGAGAUUGUUUGGAAAGGAGCGAGUGGAUCACUUGGAAAUGUUGAAGAUUCUUGAUUCUCACUUCCUCGAUCAAGAAAGGUCUCCGGUUACAGUUACUGAAGCUAUGUCCUUCCAGGUCGAUGAUAGGUUGAAUGCCUCUGAACAACAUCAAGAAGGAGAGUCACAGAGACCUUCCAGUGCCGAAACACGUGCCGCGCUGUACAAUAAGCCAAUCGAUGAGUUGGAUUUGAAUAUGAUAUGGUUAUAUGGAGAUCCAGAUGGGAAGAUUCAUGGACCGUUUUCGUUAAUGAACCUGCGGCAAUGGAGUUCGAGUGGCCACUUCCCGCCUGAGCUGAGAAUAUGGAGGUUGGGUGAACAGCAGAACAGGUCCAUACUUUUGACCGACGCAUUAAAUGGGCAGUUCCAUAAAACAGGGUUGCUUCAGAAUCAUUCUAUCCCGAAG